UGUGCAUCAGCCUAUAGGCACACUUCUGGGUAUACGUUGAACAAUGUCUAUAUAUUGUUCUUAGCAUACCAUUUCCAGGCACUGGGUAACUCGGUUGGUUGUCAUUUAUAUAGACAUUGUUCACCGUAUACCUGGAGGUGUCCUGUAGGCUGAUGUGUGCCUUGGCCUGGUAUGGAGAUCUAUUUGUGACUGUGUUGCCACACUGAUGUGCCCACAAGUAUGAAGGCUGUCGGAUGAACACUACCCGCUUGAAUACCGUUUAUAUGAACUUUUUGCGCUUAUACGAACUCUCAUGGGAAUGUCCGUUGGUUGGGUUGAAGAUUCAAAUAUUAUCUGCACGUCCAUGUGUAUGGUGUUUUGUGCUCUUGUUGAAGUCGUGUAUGUGUUUUGAAGUGCCAUGUGUUUUUGACCUACUAUGUGUUUGCCUAUGUGUAUAUUGUUACAGGUUGUUUUGUUACC
rnacentral:lncRNA from 1 species